CGGGCGGGAGGCGACGCGGGGUGCGGGGUGCGUUCGGAAGCGGUGGCAGCUCCCAUCGACUCCUGGGGUUAUUCUUCCUCAGGCCACUGCUGCUCGAGCGACGUACCAAGCGAGCCAGUUUUUUCUGUCCACCGCACCGCACGCCACACACUCGUUAAGCCAGUGCCAACACGAGAAGUCGCCACUAAUAAAUUACUGUUUUUUACUUCACUCGCAACAGUCACCGCCGCGCAGUCGAGUAAUUUAUACGUAAAAAUAAACAUUAAUCAGUAAUAAUCGCAGUUGUUAGCGACCGAACACAACGUUCAAGCCCCGCCCGUCGCACGCUUCACAUCAUAGACCAGACAAAAUGUUCGCUGUGAUGCAGAUCGACGAAGACCACACCAGGGAUUUCAGGCGUAAGCUGCGCCCAAAAUGCGAGUUCGUCUGCAAAUACUGCCAGCGUCGAUUCACGAAAUCCUACAACCUGAUGAUCCACGAGCGCACCCACAAGAGCCCGGAACUGUCGUUCAGUUGCGAGGUGUGUGGGAAAAGCUUCAAGAGGCAGGAUAACUUGCGCCAACACAGAUGUAGUCAAUGCUUGUGGCGGUGAAGGUGAUGGAGUAAGCACGAUCCUACUACAGCGGUCUCUCUUACAUGAUAGAAGAAAUACAUUACAAUCCAACAAAGGAGACCAUGUACUUAAGAUGGUAAUAUCCGCCAUUUUCGAGAUCAUUGUGACGUCAGUCAUCUGUUUUAACAAUUGGAUGUUUUAUACACAAUUACAUAACAGUAUUCGUGCUUCAUCAUUAACACCGCCAGAAUGGGAUAUUGCAAUGUUUGAUUUUAUUGUUAGAAUGUUGAAUUCAUAAGGUUGCAAAGUUAAAUUUUAAAAUCAAAAUUGAAAUUAAGUUUUUGUCUAUGUUUUGUGAUAUUGGAUUUUUUUUGGAAAUUGGAAUAGUAAGUCUUCUUGUAUGUGGUUAUGAUGGUCAUGAAAAAUGUUUAAAUAUGGAAUAAUUAAACAAAUUAAAAAUAAGUAAUAUUUGUCUGAAUUGCUAGAAUUUUUAUAUUUAUUGACAGAUAUGUUGUAUUUAAAAAAGAAUAAUAGCUAAAUAUUUGAUGAAUAUAUUUGCAGAUUUUAAAAAUAUUUGUUUAUUUAUUCCAUUAAAUAGUGAUUAUAAAAGCUAAACAUUCUGGUGAUUUGUAAAUAGUAUUUAUUAGGAUAGUGAUUGUAGCAUUUAAACGGCUUAACUGCUUAGCUAUAUUUUAAUGUAAAAUAAUAUUUAUAUUAUAUUUAAAAAUAUUGUUAUUACUAUUAGCUUAUGACACGUAGAACGUAUACAGUUCUAAAAAAAAAAAAACGAAUGCGUUUAUAGACACGAAUGUUUUUUUAGAAAUUAACAAAUAUGUUUUCAAUAAUUUUUAUUUAUUAAUAAUUAUUUUACGACACAUUCCAUUUAUUGCUUAAAUUAAUGUAUAUUUUCAGGGUUGUUCCUAAUUUUUAGAGCUAUGGGUAAGGCGGAGAUUGUGGUAUUAUGAGUUUGAAAGAUGCGUGCUUGACUUAUUUCUACAUUAAUUAUGUUAAUAUCGAUGUUAC
rnacentral:misc_RNA from 1 species